rnacentral:ncRNA from 10 species
UUGCCGAAAUGCAUGGUGGGAAAUCAGUGUGAAAUUCACUGGCUGUUCCUGCAACGGUUAAAGUCCGAGCGCCACCCGGUAAAGCCCGCUGUUGAAUGAAGGCCAGGAAAAGUCUAAUUCUACAAUGUAAAA